GGGCUCACACAAGCGGUGGAGGAUGUGGCUUAAUUCGAGGCUACGCGAAGAACCUUAUCCUAGUCUUGACAUGCACGGAUUAGCUCCUGGAAACAGGAGUGACGCCUUCGGGUGGAACGUGCACAGGUGCUGCAUGGCUGUCGUCAGCUCGUGUCGUGAGAUGUCGGGUUAAGUCCCUUAACGAGCGAAACCCUUGUCACUAGUUGCCAGCGCGUCAUGGCGGGGACUCUAGUGAGACUGCCGGUGUUAAACCGGAGGAAGGUGGGGAUGACGUCAAGUCCUCAUGGCCUUUAUGAUUAGGGCUGCACACGUCCUACAAUGGCACACACAAAGGGAAGCAAACUCGCGAGAGUAAGCAAAUCUCAAAAAAUGUGCCCCAGUUCGGAUUGCAGGCUGCAACUCGCCUGCAUGAAGCCGGAAUCGCUAGUAAUCGCGGGUCAGCAUACCGCGGUGAAUGUGUUCCUGAGCCUU
rnacentral:rRNA from 1 species